rnacentral:rRNA from 1 species
UAAUAUUUAAAUUAUUUUUUUUUUUUAUUAUAUUUUUAUAAAAAAUUUAUUUUUAUUGUUUUUUGAUGAUUAAAUUUAAUGGGUUAUUUUAUAGUUUAAUUUACUGUAAGGGAUUUUUUUUAUUAUUUAGAAGAAUAAUUUUAUUUAGUACCUUUUGUAUCAGGGUUAAAUAAAUUUUCAAAAUUAAUUUUUGUUUCCCGAAAAUUUAAGAUUUAUUUAAAAUUUUGAAUUCUUGUUUUAAAAAGAUUUAUAAAUUUUAAUUGGAUUCGAAAUGAAAUUCGUUUAAUUCUAUUUCUGGUUAAUUAAGAAUUUAAUUUAAUUAAGGAUUUUUAAAUUUAAAUUAUUUUAUUUAUGUAAAUUCUAAUUUUUAGGGGGAUAAGCUCUUAUUAAUUAUAUAAUUAUAUUUUAUUUUUUUUUAUGUAGGAAUAAAAUCUUUCAUCAUUUAAGUUCGUUGUAGAUUUAGAAUAUUAUAAAUUUUAAUUUAUUUUUUAAUUAAUUUUUUUGUUUAAAUAUUUUAGUAUUUAAUAAUGUUUGAAUUAGUAAAAUUUUAAAAAAAGUUUAUGAAUUAGGCAAAAUUAUUUUUUCACCUGUUUAACAAAAACAUGUCUUAAUGAUUUUAUUUUAAGUCUAACCUGCUCAGUGAAUUAAAAAUUUUAAAUAGCCGCGGUAUUUUAACUGUGCUAAGGUAGCAUAAUAAUUAGUCUUUUAAUUGGGGUCUUGAAUGAAUGGUUUGAUGAGAAAAAUGCUUUAUUAAUUUUUUUUAUUUGAAUUUUAUUUUUUUUUAAAAAAGAAUUAAUAAUUAAGAGGGACGAUAAGACCCUAUAGAUCUUUAAAAUAUUUAAUUAAAUAAUUUUUUUUGUUGUAUUUAUUUUUUUAGAAAUAUUAUUUUUUUAUUGGGGUGAUAGAUAAAAUUUUAGACUUUAUUUUAUAUAAACAAUUUUUUUUUUGGUUAUUGAGAUCCUAUAAAUUUAGAUUAAAAGAUUAAGAUACCUUAGGGAUAACAGCGUUAUUAAGUUGGAGAGUUCAAAUCGAUAAUUUAGUUUGCGACCUCGAUGUUGGAUUAAUCAAGUUUUAUGGGGUAGAUUUUAUAAUUUUAGGUCUGUUCGACCUUUAAAUGAUUACAUGAUCUGAGUUCAAACCGGUGUGAGCCAGGUUGGUUUUUAUCUUCUUUAAAUUUUUUUUAAUUAGUACGAAAGGACUUUUAAAGAGUAAAAUUUAUAA